rnacentral:hammerhead_ribozyme from 1 species
AUACAGCUGAAGAGGCCCAAAUAGGACGAAACACGUGUUCUAGAU